CGCUGGCGGCGUGCCUCAAACAUGCAAGUCGAACGAUUAAAGCUCUCUUCGGAGAGUGCAUAGAGUGGCGCACGGGUGAGUAACACGUAAGUAAUCUACCCUCGAGUGGGGAAUAACAUCGGGAAACCGAUGCUAAUACCGCAUAAUGCAGCGGCACCGCAAGGUGACAGUUGUUAAAGAUUUAUCGCUUGAGGAGGAGCUUGCGGCAGAUUAGCUAGUUGGUAAGGUAAUGGCUUACCAAGGCUACGAUCUGUAACCGGUCUAAGAGGACGGUCGGUCACACUGACACUGAAUAACGGGUCAGACUCCUACGGGAGGCAGCAGUCGGGAAUUUUGGGCAAUGGGCGAAAGCCUGACCCAGCAACGCCGCGUGAAGGAUGAAGUAUUUCGGUAUGUAAACUUCGAAAGAAUAGGAAGAAUAAAUGACGGUACUAUUUAUAAGGUCCGGCUAACUACGUGCCAGCAGCCGCGGUAAUACGUAGGGACCAAGCGUUGUUCGGAUUUACUGGGCGUAAAGGGCGCGUAGGCGGCGUGACAAGUCACUUGUGAAAUCUCUGAGCUUAACUCAGAACGGCCAAGUGAAACUGUUGUGCUAGAGUGCAGAAGGGGCAAUCGGAAUUCUUGGUGUAGCGGUGAAAUGCGUAGAUAUCAAGAGGAAC
rnacentral:rRNA from 1 species